UACGGGGGGGGGCAAGCGUUGUUCGGAAUUACUGGGCGUAAAGGGCGCGUAGGCGGCUCGUGACAAGUCACUUGUGAAAUCUCCGGGCUUAACUCGGAACGGUCAAGUGAUACUGUCGGACUAGAGUACAGAAGGGGCAACUGGAAUUCUCGGUGUAGCGGUGAAAUGCGUAGAUAUCGAGAGGAACACCUGCGGCGAAGGCGGGUUGCUGGGCUGAUACUGACGCUGAGGUGCGAAAGCGUGGGGAGCAAACAGG
rnacentral:rRNA from 1 species